GCCCAAGAGAUCGGGAUAACACCUGGAAACAGAUGCUAAUACCGGAUAACAAUAGAUGAUGCCUAUCAACUGUUUAAAAGAUGGUUCUGCUAUCACUCUUGGAUGGACCUGCGGUGCAUUAGCUAGUUGGUAGGGUAACGACCUACCAAGGCGAUGAUGCAUAGCCGAGUUGAGAGACUGAUCGGCCACAUUGGGACUGAGACACGGCCCAAACUCCUACGGGAGGCAGCAGCG
rnacentral:rRNA from 1 species